GCAAACUUGGUCAUUUAGAGGAAGUAAAAGUCGUAACAAGGUUUCCGUAGGUGAACCUGCGGAAGGAUCAUUACAUGGCGGAGAAGGUGGGCACCUGGUAACCCUAGGUGUGAUGCCUUCACGCAUUCUACCCUUGUCUAUUUGCACCUUUGUCGUUCCCUCGGCGGGUCUUGUACCUGCCGGCGGCAACUUUCAAAACCUCUUGCAGUUAGUAUCUAAUUCUUCUGAUUAAAAUAUCAAUCGUUACAACUUUCAACAAUGGAUCUCUUGGUUCUGGCAUCGAUGAAGAACGCAGC
rnacentral:misc_RNA from 1 species